rnacentral:rRNA from 1 species
UGGGGAAUUUUGCACAAUGGGGGAAACCCUGAUGCAGCGACGCCGCGUGAUUUAGAAGGCCUUCGGGUUGUAAAAAUCUUUUUUAUGGGAAGAAAAUGACAGUACCAUAGGAAUAAGGACCGGCUAAUUACGUGCCAGCAGCCGCGGUAAUACGUAAGGUCCGAGCGUUGUCCGGAAUCAUUGGGCGUAAAGGGUACGUAGGCGGGUAAGCAAGUUAGAAGUGAAAUCCUGUAGCUCAACUACAGUAAGCUUUUAAAACUGCUCAUCUUGAGAUAUGGAAGGGAAAGUGGAAUUCCUAGUGUAGCGGUGAAAUGCGCAGAUAUUAGGAGGAAUACCGGUGGCGAAGGCGACUUUCUGGCCAUAAUCUGACGCUGAGGUACGAAAGCGUGGGUAGCAAACAGGA